UAUAGUAAACUAUUCACACUGUCUGUCCCUAGAAAUAUCCAAAACAUCCAGGCAAACUUUAUGUUUUUCUUUCCCUCCUUCUAGGACAAUCAAAUGAAGUGGCCAAUGAAAUAUUAGACUUAACUAGUGAUGGGCAGAACCUAACCUCAGCCAAUAUUAACAGCAUUGUAGAACAGGUCAAAAGGAUUGUAAACCAAGAAGAAAAUAUUGAUAUAGCGCUCGGCUCCACUCUCAUGAAUAUAUUUUCUAACAUCUUAAGCAGUUCGGAUAGUGAUUUGCUUGAGUCGUCUUCUGAAGCUUUAAAAACAAUUGAUGAGCUAGCCUUUAAAAUAGACCUGAAUAGCACACCACAUGUGAAUAUUGCGACACAGAAUUUGGCUCUUGGAGUUUCAUCCCUGAUGCCAGGGACGGAUGCACCUUCAAAUUUUAGCAUUGGCCUUCCAAACAAUAACGA
rnacentral:lncRNA from 1 species